rnacentral:rRNA from 1 species
AACCUCCGCAAUGUGAGAAAUCGCGACGGGGGGAUCCCAAGUGCCAUUCUUAACGGGAUGGCUUUUCAUUAGUGUAAAGAGCUUUUGGAAUAAGGGCUGGGCAAGACCGGUGCCAGCCGCCGCGGUAACACCGGCAGCUCUAGUGGUAGCAGUUUUUAUUGGGCCUAAAGCGUCCGUAGCCGGUUUAAUAAGUCUCUGGUGAAAUCCUGUAGCUUAACUGUGGGAAUUGCUGGAGAUACUAUUAGACUUGAGACCGGGAGAGGUUAGAGGUACUCCCAGGGUAGAGGUGAAAUUCUGUAAUCCUGGGAGGACCGCCUGUUGCGAAGGCGUCUAACUGGAACGGUUCUGACGGUGAGGGACGAAAGUUAGGGGCGCGAACCGGAUUAGAUACCCGGGUAGUCCUAACUGUAAACGAUGCGGACUUGGUGUUGGGGUGGCUUUGAGCUGCUCCAGUGCCGAAGGAAGCUGUUAAGUCCGCCGCCUGGGAAGUACGGUCGCAAGACUAGAAUUAAAAGGAAGU